rnacentral:rRNA from 1 species
UACGGAUGGUGCGAGCGUUGUCCGGAAUCACUGGGCGUAAAGGGCGCGUAGGCGGCCUGAUAAGUAGGGGGUGAAAUCCUGAGGCUUAACCUCAGGGCUGCCUUCUAAACUGUCAGGCUCGAGCACAGUAGAGGCAGGUGGAAUUCCCGGUGUAGCGGUGGAAUGCGUAGAGAUCGGGAAGAACAUCAGUGGCGAAGGCGGCCUGCUGGGCUGUUGCUGACGCUGAGGCGCGACAGCGUGGGGAGCAAACAGG